rnacentral:rRNA from 1 species
AACUAACGCUAGCGGCGUGCCUAACACAUGCAAGUCGUACGAGAAAGUCCGUUUCGGCGGAUAAGUAAAGUGGCGCACGGGCGAGUAACGCGUGGAUAAUCUACCCUUUAGUCUGGAAUAACCCAUCGAAAGGUGAGCUAAUACCGGAUAAUACUGCGCAACUACUGUUGUGUAGUCAAAGAUGGCCUCUGCUUGCAAGCUUUCACUGAAGGAUGAGUCCGCGUACCAUUAGCUAGUUGGUAGGGUAAUGGCCUACCAAGGCGACGAUGGUUAGCUGGUCUGAGAGGAUGAUCAGCCACACUGGAACUGAGACACGGUCCAGACUCCUACGGGAGGCAGCAGUGAGGAAUAUUGCGCAAUGGGGGCAACCCUGACGCAGCAACGCCGCGUGAGUGAGGAAGGUUUUCGGACCGUAAAGCUCUGUCGAGCGGGAAGAAGUGCAUGGUGGCUAAUAUCCAUCAUGCUUGACGGUACCGCUAAAGGAAGCACCGGCUAACUCCGUGCCAGCAGCCGCGGUAACAC